rnacentral:lncRNA from 1 species
AGAACAUCAGCUCAUCAGAAGCAGUGACAUCCAAGAGCCCAGAGGAGCCUGAAGAACAAUUGAGAGAAGCCUCCUUUGCCAACGCGUUGCCCACCAGGGCUGCACGUGGUACCCUUGCUCCAAGAUGCUUCCCAAAAACACCAGGACCAGGCAGUUAAAUGGCACUUGUACCAGCUCGGUGGACAUGGAGCUCUUCCUUCAUUAUUCCCUCAUCCCAUCACUCUUCAUCAUGUUGAUCUUGUCCUUCCUUCAAAGAUGAGAGCAUUGUAGACAGAGAGAUGAUACCUCUUACCUGCUGGGGAACUGCUUUGGCAUUAUCAUGCCUCUGGACUUCGUGGGCACUUUCAGUAACCGAUGGUCCUAUGGAAUCACCUUUGGGGCCACAGCUAAUAAGGUCAUGUUUUUGUUCUCAGAAGGCUACCAGCCCCUGCAGAUCCCGCAGUGGGCCCAAGGUUUGCUGUCACCAUUAUUCAAGUUUCACAGUGUCCCCACGGGCAGAUGGAGUCUCUCAAGCUGGAGUGCAGUGGCGUGAUCUCGGCUCACUGCAACCUCUGCCUCCCGGGUUCAAGUGAUUCCUCCAGCUCAGCCUCCCAAGUAGCUGGGAUUACAGGAUUCCAUAUCAGGAUACCACAGGACACUGAGUCCUUAGGUUCUUCCCGGCUGUGAUCGUUUCUCAGGCCUACAUUGUUUUUGAUGACCUUGAUGGUUUUAGGGGGUACUAGUCAGGUGUUUUUGGGAACUGUUUCUCAGCUGAGGUUUGUCUGAUGUAGUGGGAUUAUUAGUUUUGGGAGGGAACAUGUCAAGGUAAAAUGCCAUUCUCAUCCUGUCGUAUGAUACACACUUUCAACUUGACUGAUCACUGCUCACACUGGCCUUGAUCACCUGGCUGAGACAGUGUUUGUUAGGUUUCUCCAACGUGAAGUUACUCUUUUUCCUCCUUUGCUAUACUGAGUUCUUGGUAGGAUGUCAUUAUGUGAAGCCCACAGUUUAGAAGUGGGGAGUGAUGCUCUGCUUCCUGGAGUGUCUGAUCUCCUUUUGAAAUGAUUUUUCAUGCUGAACACAGAGUAAUUAAAGUAAGAAAAAUACGGAUAUUGAAUGACUAGUUGCAAGAAGUCCAUUAUGACAUCUGACAUGAAAAAUUAUCUAUCUACCUGUCUAUUAAACGAUUAUAUCUGUGUAUACAAACAUUAAAUACUAAGCUAUGCAGUAUCGUCUUUACUGAAGGUAAAGGUCAUUAGAUUAUAUGCCAUGCAGUGAACUGAGAAAUAUCUCAUUUUUCAGACCUAAAUCCCAUCAUUUCUUCAGAAUACCAACUCUUUAUAGAAUGUUGUUUUGGGAGAAGUUUAUAUUGGUGAAAGUUUACUUUGACAUAUCUAUGGGAUAAGACGAC